GGUGAACGCCGGCGGCGUGCUUAAGACAUGCAAGUCGAACGGCAGUCUUCGGACUGUAGUGGCGCACGGGUGAGUAACGCGUAACUGACCUACCCCAGAGUCGCGGAUAAUGAUUCGAAAGAAUCGCUAAUACGUGAUGUGCUGUCAGAUUGUGUUCUGCCAGUAAAGAAUGAUUGCUUUGGGAUGGGGUUGCGUUCCAUCAGCUAGUUGGUGGGGUAAAGGCCCACCAAGGCGACGACGGAUAGCCGGCCUGAGAGGGUGGCCGGCCACAGGGGCACUGAGACACGGGUCCCACUCCUACGGGAGGCAGCAGUUAGGAAUCUUCCACAAUGGGCGAAAGCCUGAUGGAGCGACGCCGCGUGAGGGAUGAAGGUCUUCGGAUCGUAAACCUCUGAAUCAGGGACGAAAGACACUUCGGUGGGAUGACGGUACCUGAGUAAUAGCACCGGCUAACUCCGUGCCAGCCGCCGCGGUAAAAC
rnacentral:rRNA from 1 species